CGACUGAGCCACCCAGGUGCCAGCCCUCUUCCCCCUCCUGCUUUUUUAACAGAGAAAGAACACCAGCAGGGGAGAGGGGCAGAGGGAGAGAGAGUGAGUCUUAAGCAGGCUUUACUCUCAGCAUGGAGCCUGACGUGGAUCCCAAGAACUGAGUCAAAAUCAAGAGUCAACUGACUGAGCUACCCAGGCGCCCUCUGGUGUAAUUAUUAUUUUUAAAGUAUAUUUAUUAUUCUUGAGAGAGAGAGAGUACAUCAGCCAGGGAGGGGCACAGAGAGAGAGGGAGGCACAAUCCAAAGCAGGCCCUGAGCUGUCAGCCCAGAGUCCCACGCAGGGCUCAAAUCCACAAACUGUGAGGUCAUGACCUGACCUUAAGUUGGACGCUUAACCGACUGAGCUACCCAGGCACCCCUCUGGUGGAAUUAUUAAUAGCAUUCCUUUCCAGUCUCAGAAGUAAGAAGUAUCCCCAUUGUGACAAUAAAUCGUACGGUCCCUGAAAUUCUAGGACAGAUUACAUUUGGUCCAGUAUUAGUUCCUACUCUCUGAAUUCCCUCCCUGGUCAUUUGGACUGGAAGCAGUCAGACUAACUUACCUACGGGACCCCUCAACUGUGUAACCCUGGAAUCCCUUUCUUUUUCUUUUUUUAAGAUUUUUUUUUUUUUUAAAGGAAUCUCUCUACACCCAGCGUGGACCUCUCAAAAUUCCAAGAUCAGAGUUGCACGCGCCACCGACUGAGCCAGCCAGACGCCCCCAACCCUGGAAUCCCUUUCUUACCACAGUCCAUUCUUUUUCAGCUUCAUCCACCACUAAACAGCAACAGUGACUACAACCUCCUUAUUUCCUUCUCAUCUCCAACCUCACUCAGGAGACCCUGCGAUUUCAGUAAGCAUGUUUUAUUUUAUUUUUUAAUUUUUUUAAUAUUUAUUUAUUUUGGGGAGUGAGAGAGACAGAGUAUGAGAGGGGGAGGGGUAGAGAGAGACAGAGGGAGACACAGAAUCUGAGGCAGGCUCCAGGCCCUGAGCUGCCAGCACAGAGCCUGACACAGGGGCAGGCUCGAACCCACAUAGCGCGAGACCAGGACCUGAGCCAAAGUUGGAGGCUUAACCGACUGCGCCACCCAGGCGCCCCAGUAACCAUGUUUUAAAACUUGCCUUGCGGGGCGCCUGGGUGGCGCAGUCGGUUAAGCGUCCGACUUCAGCCAGGCCACGAUCUCGCGGUCCGUGAGUUCGAGCCCCGCAUCGGGCUCUGGGCUGAUGGCUUGGAGCCUGUUUCCGAUUCUGUGUCUCCCUCUCUCUCUGCCCCUCCCCCGUUCAUGCUCUGUCUCUCUCUGUCCCAAAAAUAAAUAAACGUUGAAAAAAAAAAUUAAAAAAAAA
rnacentral:lncRNA from 1 species